AUUGAACGCUGGCGGCAGGCCUAACACAUGCAAGUCGAGCGAGCGGCGGACGGGUGAGUAAUGUAUGGGGACUGCCCGAUAGAGGGGGAUAACUACUGGAAACGGUGUCUAAUACCGCAUACUAUCGGAUAACCCAUAUGGGAUUAGCUAGUAGGUGGGGUUAAGUCUCACCUAGGCGACGAUCUCUAGCUGAUCUGAGAGGAUGAUAAGCCACACUGGGACAGAGACAAGGCCCAGAUUCCUACGGGGGCAGCAGUGGGGAAUAUUGCACAAUGGGCGCAAGCCUGAUGGAGCCAUGCCGCGGUUACGAAGAAGGCCUUAGGGUUGUAAAGUACUUUCAGCGGGGAGGCGUUAACCGCAGAUGAAGCACCGGCUAACUCCGUGCCAGCAGCCGCGGUAAUUC
rnacentral:rRNA from 1 species